UUAUCUUCAUAACACUUAAAAAUAUGAAAUGAGUUAAGGCAAAGAUGUUUUUUCUGAAAUCAAAUUUGUUUAUUGUAAAGAAAAACAAAAGAGGAAUAAUCUCUGUAGUCCAUUCCCUUUUAAAAUUUAAAAAUUACUAACAGUUGCCCGCUCAAAUGUUUUUAUCUAUUGGAAACUUUCUAAAAUGCAUUAAAAUCUGCACAUUUAAUGUGGAAGAAAUAUUCAUAAUCUUUGAAUAUUCCACUCGAGUAGUUUCUAAGCGACGAAAAUGCUAUAAUCAUGUGGAUUUUACAUGGUACAGUCUAAUAUGACAGAGGAAACAGUGGCAGUUGCUCUCUUGUGCCCUCUUCUAUAAAUGAACAGAAUGUUUAAUGCAAAUUUGACAAGUCUUUUGUGUAAGACUAUCCAGUGGGAAACGUUUAAAUCAAAUAUCUGUAAUACUAGAAAGUUUCUGUUGAAUUCACUGGCCUUUUCACUCAUCAGUGAAAUACGUCAUAGAAGUCAUCAAUUUAACAAAAUCGCCUGCCGUUGUUGGAGCUGUUCACUGCAAAGAACACUUUUUAUGCUGUUCGCUUGAAACAGUGGCCAACUCCUGUAAGCAAAGCGACCGCCUUUUCUCUUGACGAAAAUAUGGAUGGCAGCUAUCUGGAUGGCCACGAAAUUUUUUCUUUCGUACAGAAGUAAUAUCGGCAUUGACAGACAGUACAACAUGGCCUAUAUCCAUGUCAUUUUGCUUGAUAAAGGCACUACGUCAACCACCAGUAGUGUUGCUUUCUGUUCCAUGCACUUGAUUGUCCACCCCAAAUAUGCUGGAUGCGAGGAAGUAUUCCUUACAGGUGAUGUUGAAGGUGAUGAGACAAUUCAAGGGCGCAAUGCAGCCCUAUUGGCUACUUACCAUAAUGAAUUACCGGAAUUCAAACGCCUGUCAUACGCGUUUCUGAGUAUAGGAUUCAAAGUAAUUGAACGUCUUAGAAUGGAAUCACCCAGUGACCCUCGUUAUGAGGGAAAUACUCCAUGGCCAGGAACCGUUUGAAACUAGAUUCCAGCAUCUACGCAGGACAAAAAUGCUUCUAGGUAAUUCUGUUGUCUCUGCAUGGCUUGUGGUAAACUUUCUAGAAUGACCAAAUUUAUUAAGUUAAAUGAAUGCCCUUUCAGUUCCAGCCAUAAAGUAUCUACAUAUGUGUAGUAGGUAUCUAGAUGUCCUGGAAAGAACGUCAUUGAAGUAAUAUCGGUAUUCUUCUGUCAGACAACUCAUGGCCGUUGAUGCUACUUUUCCGGUUAAAAAGUAUGUCAUCACCAUCGAUAAUACGCUUUUCAAGGUCCAAAAACGUCUUCACUAGAAAGCAGUUCUUUAUACGGGGAGGAUAUUCCCUUCAGAUGAGUUCGAAGUACAUGGAAUUCAAAGGCAUGAUCUAAUCUAUUCCGAUUCAGAUGUUGACUUGUUUUGUUCGAAGUGAUCCUGCCACAACAUGCAGUAUCUGAAGCUUCUAUCAAGUGCAAACUAGAAUUCGGAGCCACUACAGUUAAAAUGUUGAUUUCCGGACAAAUGUAGUUGGUUAGUAAAAUUAUAAAUGUUACACCAAAUCCAAAAUGUAUAUUUUCUAUCAAAAAUCAUCAGUUUGCAUAGUGGUGAAAUUGUGAUUACUAAUGUAAUGGCAAAUUAUUUGAAAAUAUCAAUAUAUCUUUGAAGUAUUUCAUGAUCCCAUUUUAAGGCUAUGACAAUGAAUCUUACAUUUUUGGGGAUAUUUUUUUAAAAUUGGGAAAGCUUGAAGUGCAUGUAAUUAUCAUUCAAAACAAA